UUCUGGAUUUUAGGUGCAAUUAAAUCACGUAUUUCAAGACAAGAUUGUUUGAGCAAGGUUAGGAACCACGUUAUCUUACACAAAUAUGAAAACAGAGCAUUUAAUGAAGCACCACGGAACAUAACCGUACGGUGGAGGAGCACCCCUGUAGAAGAGCACCAAUUGCGAUGCGCACGGCCGACUCAUCGUAUUUGUAUGUCUAACAUCAGAGCAUCCUGAGUCUUGAGCCGUGAACGUGCUGCUGUACUGGUGCUGCAGAUGCUAUGAGAUUGCAAUGAAUAGGCGGCCGGACCUCGAUAUCGGUGCGAUUAUCGAAACCUUGUUAGCUGUGAGACAGACUCCGGGAAAACAGGUUCAACUACCUGAGACCCAGAUCCGACAGCUAUGCCAACUGUCACGUGCCAUAUUCCUCGAGCAACCGAU